rnacentral:rRNA from 1 species
UACAGAGGUCCCGAGCGUUGUUCGGAUUCACUGGGCGUAAAGGUGCGUAGGUGGCUUGGAAAGUUUGAUGUGAAAGCUCAGGGCUUAACCCUGAAAUGGCAUUGAAUACUGCCGGGCUGGAGGUUUGGAGGGGGGACUGGAAUUCUUGGUGUAGCAGUGAAAUGCGUAGAUAUCAAGAGGAACACCAGUGGCGAAGGCGAGUCCCUGGACAACACCUGACACUGAGGCACGAAAGCUAGGGGAGCAAACAGG